rnacentral:rRNA from 1 species
ACGAACGCUGGCGGCGUGCUUAACACAUGCAAGUCGAACGGUGAAGCUCCAGCUUGCUGGGGUGGAUCAGUGGCGAACGGGUGAGUAACACGUGAGCAACCUGCCCCUGACUCUGGAAUAAGCGCUGGAAACGGCGUCUAAUACUGGAUACGAGAAGGGUCCGCAUGGGCACUUUCUGGAAAGUUUUUCGGUUGGGGAUGGGCUCGCGGCCUAUCAGCUUGUUGGUGAGGUAAUGGCUCACCAAGGCGACGACGGGUAGCCGGCCUGAGAGGGCGACCGGCCACACUGGGACUGAGACACGGCCCAGACUCCUACGGGAGGCAGCAGUGGGGAAUAUUGCACAAUGGGCGAAAGCCUGAUGCAGCGACGCCGCGUGAGGGAUGACGGCCUUCGGGUUGUAAACCUCUUUCAGCAGGGAAGAAGCGAAAGUGACGGUACCUGCAGAAGAAGCACCGGCUAACUACGUG